UGCUUUCUCUACUGUAAGUCGCUCUGGAUAAGAACGUCUGCUAAAUGACUACAA
rfam:Salmo salar isolate Sally breed double haploid chromosome ssa22, whole genome shotgun sequence.